GACACAGAUACCACCCUGCUGUACAUACGUUUUACAGUUGUUGUGUUCAGGAUAGAGGUUUUAGAGUUUGUUUAAGUUGUCUGUAAAUACGUUUCAUAGAGUUUUGUUAGAGCUGUUCUCAGGUAAAUAGGUUCUACAGUUUAUUGUUGUUGUUACCAAUAUUCUUACAGUGUAAAUAUGUGGUGUAGUUCAUUCUUGUUCCUUUUCUUCUACAGAUCAACAGUCUUUGAUUUUCACACCCCAGUUCUCUUUGCAUUUUCUUCGGGCACAUUUGCAAAGCUGUGGGUUGUUUCGGGAACAAUGUUUGCAGGACUCUAAAAAGAGUAUCACAACCGCUCUGCCACACUCUCAGCUGCUGCUGCUGCCCCAAAAAGCACUGGCUGGCUUUG